AUUGAGCGCUGGCGGCAGGCUUAACACAUGCAAGUCGAGCGGAGCGAGGGUGCUUGCACCUUAGCUUAGCGGCGGACGGGUGAGUAAUGCUUAGGAAUCUGCCUAUUAGUGGGGGACAACAUUCCGAAAGGAAUGCUAAUACCGCAUACGCCCUACGGGGGAAAGCAGGGGAUCUUCGGACCUUGCGCUAAUAGAUGAGCCUAAGUCGGAUUAGCUAGUUGGUGGGGUAAAGGCCUACCAAGGCGACGAUCUGGAGCGGGUCUGAGAGGAUGAUCCGCCACACUGGGACUGGGACACGGCCCAGACUGCUACGGGAGGCAGCAGUGGGGAAUAUUGGACAAUGGGCGGAAGCCUGAUCCAGCCAUGCCGCGUGUGUGAAGAAGGCCUUUUGGUUGUAAAGCACUUUAAGCGAGGAGGAGGCUACUUAGAUUAAUACUCUGGGACAGUGGACGUUACUCGCAGAAUAAGUGACUGCUAACUCUGUGCCAGCCGCCGCCGUAA
rnacentral:rRNA from 1 species